rnacentral:lncRNA from 1 species
AUGAAAGAAGAUUAAUUAACAGAAGCAGCUGCAGCUGGGCCUGGAGGCAGUGGCUCUACAGCAGCAGUGAGAGCCGAGCUGUGGCAGACACAUGCUCUUCCCCUGACUCACGGCUGCCCAGUUCCCUCCAGCGAGGCUGCUGACCUAUUUUUCUAUUAGGAACAACCAGCCAAUGUGAUAAUGAGGAAAAUGUAUUCUGGCCCCUAUGAAGUUUAGUGAAGCCCGAAUGAAGUGGAGGAGGCCACGGAGAUGCACGAGGAAGAGCAUUCCAGGCAGAGGGAACAGCGAGGACAAAAGCCCCCGGGCAGGAAUGGGUGUGCAAGCCUGAGAUCCAACAUGGCGGAGAGCAAGCCGGAAGUGCUGCGCGGGGAUCCUAAGGGAGCACUGAACAGGACAAGCUCAGUUUUGUCCCUCAAACCUCCACAAUCAGCCCCCUCGUUUCUGAUGAGAAGUUAGCAGCCAUUCCAGGCUUUUCCUUCUGUUGUCUGGCACUGGUGGGUUCUUGGUCUCAUUGACUUCAAGAAUGAAGCCGUGGACCCUUGCGCUAUUUUACAUAAGGAAAGUGGGUGGUGAUUAACCUCAGAGUCUCCAGGGACAGACUAUCCAGGACUGUGCCUGAAAUAGAAGAGGAAUUAACAUCAUACAGAACUGAAUACGGUGACUGAGGGGAGUUUGUGUCUCCCCUUUUAGGAAAGAAGAUGAGAAUAAGUAUGAAGGAGAGUCAUGUACUGUACAUUAAGCAAAAGCAUGAUGCUGUUAUUUGAAAUGUUAAUUAGAGGUGCCCACUAAAAACUGCUCAGCAAUUUUCUUG